AGCAGAAAUGCUGGGUCAUAUGGUGAUUGCAUAUUUAGUUUUAGAAGUAACUGCCAAACUGUUUUCUAGAAUGGCUGUACCAUUUUACAUUCCCACCAGCGUU
rnacentral:pre_miRNA from 1 species